AUCCUGGCUCAGGACGAACGCUGGCGGCGUGCCUAAUACAUGCAAGUCGAGCGGACGGAUGGGAGCUUGCUCCCUGAAGUCAGCGGCGGACGGGUGAGUAACACGUGGGCAACCUGCCUGUAAGACUGGGAUAACUUCGGGAAACCGGAGCUAAUACCGGAUAAUGCACAACCUCUCAUGAGGCUAUGCUGAAAGAUGGUUUCGGCUAUCACUUACAGAUGGGCCCGCGGCGCAUUAGCUAGUUGGUGAGGUAACGGCUCACCAAGGCAACGAUGCGUAGCCGACCUGAGAGGGUGAUCGGCCACACUGGGACUGAGACACGGCCCAGACUCCUACGGGAGGCAGCAGUAGGGAAUCUUCCGCAAUGGACGAAAGUCUGACGGAGCAACGCCGCGUGAGUGAUGAAGGUUUUCGGAUCGUAAAACUCUGUUGUCAGGGAAGAACAGGUACCGGAGUAACUGCCGGCACAUUGACG
rnacentral:rRNA from 1 species